rnacentral:lncRNA from 1 species
AUACUGGUUAUACUGGGAGGGCACUGGGGCAUGGAGGGGGCGCGGCUGGGAGUGUGGGUGGCACACGGGGAAGGUAACUGGGAAUACUGGUUAUACUGGGAGCACUGGGAGCAUUGGUUAUACUGGUUAUACUGGGGCAUGGAGGGGGCACGGCUCGGAGUGUGGGUGGCGCACGGGGAAGGUAACUGGGAAUACUGGGGAUACUGGUUAUACUGGGAGCAUUGGGAACCCUGGUUAUACUGGGAGGGCACUGGGAGCAUUGGUUAUACUGGGAGAGCUGAGUUACUGGUUAUACUGGGAGCACUUAUUAUACUGGGUAUACUGGUUAUACUGGGAGGGCAUUGGGAGCAUUGGUUAUACUGGGAGCACUGGUUAUACUGGGAGCAUUGGGAGCAUUGGCUACACUGGAAGAGCUGAGUUACUGGUUAUACUGGGAGCACUGGUUGUACUGGGAGGGCACUGGGAGCAUUGGUUAUACUGGGAGGGCACUGGGGCAUGGAGGGGGCAAGGCUGGGAGUGUGGGUGGCACACGGGGAAGGUAACUGGGAAUACUGGGGAUACUGGGAGGGACUGGGAGGGCAUUGGGAGCAUUGGUUAUAGUGGGAGAGCUGAGUUAUUGCAGUUACUGGUUAUACUGGGAGCACUGGUUAUACUGGGAGAGCUGAGUUACUGGUUAUACUGGUUAUACUGGGAGGGAUUGGGAGCAUUGGUUAUAGUGGGAGAGCUGAGUUACUGGUUAUACUGGGAGCACUGGGAACAUUGGGAGGGACUGGGAGCAAUGGUUAUACUCAUAGAGCUGAGUUACUGGUUAUACUGGUUAUACUGGGAGGGCACUGGGAGCAUUGGUUAUACUGGGAGAGCUGAGUUACUGGUUAUACUGGGGGCACUGGUUAUACUGGGAGCACUGGUUAUACUGGGAGCACUGGUUAUACUGGGAGCACUGGGCUCUCACUGGUGUCACUGGUGUGUUACUGGUUUAACUGGGCUCUAACUGGUUUCUAAUUGGUCUAACUGGUCUCUAACUGGUGUCCAACUUGUCUAACUGGUUUAACUGGCCCCUAACUGGUCUCUAACUGGUUUCCCCAGGCCAUUUCCAGUUCCAGCCACCCUUGGCCCUUGAGUGUCCACUCUCCAUCAGUGACCAUUGAGUGACCACUGACCAUUACCAGUCCCUAACUGGUCUCUAACUGGUCUCUAACUGGUUUCCAGGCCGUUUCCAGUUCCGGCCGCCCUCGGCCCUUGAGUGUCCACUCUCCAUCACUGACCAUUGAGUGACCACUGACCGUUACCAGUCCCUAACUGGUUUAUAACCAAUAUAUAACUGGUUUAACUGGUCUCUAACUGGUCUCUAACUGGUCCAUACUGUUUUCCAGGCCAUUUCCAGUUCCGGCUGCCCUCGGCCCUUGACCGCUGUGUCCGGUCCGGCCUGGCCGCUCUCCAUUAUUGACCAUUGAGUGGCCACUGACCAUUACCAGUC